rnacentral:piRNA from 1 species
GUCAUAUGGUGAUAAUGGUCCC